rnacentral:tRNA from 3 species
GUCCCCGUAGCUCAACGGAUAGAGCAGACCCGUCCUAAGGGUAAGAUGGAGGUUCAAUUCCCUCCGGGGACACCC